GAGGCAACUCUGAUGCAGCGACGCCGCGUGAGCGAUGAAGCCCUUCGGGGUGUAAAGCUCUUUCGACGGGAACGAUUAUGACGGUACCCGGAGAAGAAGCUGCGGCUAACUACGUGCCAGCAGCCGCGGUAAUACGUAGGCAGCAAGCGUUGUUCGGAAUUACUGGGCGUAAAGAGUGUGUAGGCGGUUUUCUAAGUUCGGUGUGAAAUCUCCCGGCUUAACUGGGAGGGUGCGCCGGAAACUGGAAGGCUUGAGUAUGGGAGAGGAAGGCGGAAUUCCUGGUGUAGCGGUGAAAUGCGUAGAUAUCAGGAGGAACACCUGCGGUGUAGACAGCUUUCUGGACCAUCACUGACGCUGAGACACGAAAGCGUGGGUAGCAAACAGGAUUAGAUACCCUGGUAGUCCACGCCCUAAACGAUGCAUACUUGGUGUGAGCCGUUCAGUCGGUUCGUGCCGGAGCUAACGCGUUAAGUAUGCCGCCUGGGGAGUAC
rnacentral:rRNA from 1 species